GCAUGAUCCCGCCUGGCGGUGGGUGCAGUCUUCAAACUUGUAGACGGCUAGCGCC
rnacentral:tRNA from 17 species